ACCACAUUAAACCAUCUUAAACCUGUCACUGCUGAAGCGUUUGCAUAGAGAGAGUGUUUUACAUGAGCGACACACGCUUCAGUGCUCUGCAUGUGUUUAUAACUCUGUCAAACAUCAAACAUGAUCAACAACUGUUUUUCACUAGAACUGAACCUACAACCAACAAAAAUGACUUUCAGCACCAUAUUGAUCUGGACGCUGGCAGUAUUAUGUCGAGAAUCUGUUGGUCAGGUGACAGUGACUCAAACUCCCUCAGAGCUGCUCUCUCAAACUGGACAAUCAGUCACUGUGACCUGUAAAACUAGCAGUGAUCCAGUCUCCUGGUGUGAUGGCAAACACUGUCUUGCCUGGUACUUACAGAAACCUGGAGAAGCUCCUAAACUCCUGAUUUAUUAUAUAAACCGCCUCCAGUCAGGAACUCCAUCUAGAUUCAGUGGCAGUGGAUCUAACAGUGAUUUCACUCUGACCAUCAGUGGAGUCCAGACUGAAGAUGCUGGACAUUAUUACUGUCAGAGUUAUCACUACAUCAACAGUAAAGCAGUGUUCACACAGUGAUAAAGAGUCGUACAA